CCCACUCCCCAAUAUGGAUCUGGGUACGGGAGAAAGUCUGAAUAUGAAGAACCCACUCCCCAGUAUAGAUCCGGGUAUGGAAGGAAGAGUGAGAAUGAAGAACCCACUCCCAAGUAUGGAUCUGGGUAUGGGAGAAAGAGUGAAUAUGAAGAACCCACUCCCCAAUAUGGAUCCGGGUACGGAAGGAAGAGCGAAUAUGAAGAACCCACUCCUCAAUAUGGAUCCGGGUAUGGAAGGAAGAGUGAAUAUGAGGAGCCAAGUUCGGAAUACGGGUCGGGGUACCGAAAGAAGAGUGAAUAUGAGGAGCCAAGUUCCGAAUACGGGUCGGGUUAUGGGCGUAGAACUGAAUCUGAUGAAUAUGGAUAUGGGAGGAAGCCAAGCUAUGGACAGGAGGAAGGUUAUGGGCGUUCAAGCUACCAGCCUGAGGAGGGGGAAGGAUACGAUAGGC
rnacentral:lncRNA from 1 species